CGUGGCUGAAGCUGGAUCGUGGAUGCUCGCUGGGCUCGGUGAGGAGAUCUCGGAUGGCAUCUCAGGUGGCGGCUGUGAGAUCCCCCAUGGCAAGCCAGGCUUUGUGUUAUCUUGAGAGGAGGCUGCUGUCCUCUGAAAUCCAGCGAGGAGAUGGUGAUGAGAAGGCCUCCCUCUAUCAGAUCCUGCUUGAACUCAUGGAUGCUGUGAAUCGCCUUCCUGAGCCGACCUCAGCUGGAUCUCCUUCCUGCCUUUCAGGAAGCUCAGAGGCUCCUUGGGACCUGCAAUAGGAAGUUGUGGAUGAACCAGUUUCUUCUGGGGAGGAGCCAAAAGCCCCCAGUGAAGCCACAGGUGCUCACAGGGAAGGAAGAUCCUCUGUAAGUUCAGAAAUCGCAAAGGAACCAAAGGCCUUGCUCCACAUGGGGCACUGUUGGGGCUUGGCCCACAUCUGAUGGCUCCCUCAACAAUAACCUUCUCUCCAGAACCUGGCUCCUUUAGAGGGCAGUGAGGGGCAGAGGCAUGGGACUUGUAUAACUGCCCGCAUCUGACAGAACAGUGGGGAGGAGAACUGGGAUGCUGUGGAAUACCUCUCAUUUCCUUGGCGUUGCAUCAGGUGCAAGACCCAUUGAAGUGAAUGAAUAUGACUAAUUGGGGCUUUUUGAUUUCAAUAAGUCUACUCUUGAAUUCAACUUAGCUGCCCAACGCUUGAAGUCCCUCCUUAUCGCUUAUCUCUUCUGGGAAGCCUUUGGCCUAUAUGCACAGAUACCUUUGUAAUUAAGACCAGGGUUGUUGAUGUCGUUGUCGUCUGCCGUUCUCUCAAAGGUCCCAGGGCAGGUUAUGGCAUUAAACCACCCUCCCAUCAUAUGUCAAGGAGAUAAAGCACUACACAACUUUGAGAAGACACCUGGUGGCAGCCCUGUUUUGGGAAGUUUUUAAUGUUUGGUGUUUUGUUUUUUUAUUCUGCUA